GGCCAGUGAGUGUAUGUAGUGUGUGUGGAAAGAUUACAAAAUACUCUGGGUCAGUUACUAGGGGGAAAAAUAUAUUGCAUUUUAAUACAUUGCAUAAAUAUAUAAAUAUAUUGCAUAUAUUGAUUUCUACAGUAGUGUUCAAUAGAAAAGUUUUCCUGCACUCUUCUCUUAUUUGGAAGAUUAGUAUUUCACUUCAGACAAACAGGAAGUAACAUGUUAAAUGUUAAAUUCCCCAUCAUCCACAGACGAACCUGAAUGACAAGAUAUCUGUAAAAAGCUAAAUGUUUAAAACACGGGUCAUACAAGGAAAUUUUGGUGUGGAGGUGUGGAUUUCACUAAUGCUUUACAUUAAAAACACCCAAACUACAAUGUGCACACUCAGCUGGACUAAGAUGAAGGUCUCAGGUGCUCACAUCUGGCUUCUCUUAUUGUUCCUGUUCCAAAGUGACAGAAACCAGGUUUCAGGCCAGUGUUCAGUACCCACAGCACUCUGCUGUCCUGGAGUGAAUAGCCAAUGUAACCGUGGUGGGUGUUUUUGUGAUGAGUUCUGCGUCACAAGCGGGGACUGCUGUGCUGACUACAAUCAGAUAUGCAUUCAGCCACAUUCGCCACCAUCCUUUAUAUCACCUUCAUCAACCACACUAUCAUAUUCACCGUUCUCAUCAACAUCCUUAUCAACCUCAAUAUCACCAACCUCACAACUUUUAUCUUCCUCAACAUCACCCUCACCACCAUCUUCAUCCUCCCUACCUACAACCAACCAAUCACCAACAUCAUCACCAACCUCACCACCAACUUCAUCCUCCUCACCUACAACCAACCAAUCACCAACAUCAUCACCAAGCUCACAAACAUCUUCAUCAGUCUCACCAACAACCAACCAAUCAUCAUCACCACCAACUUCACCACCAUCUUUAUCCUCCCUGCCUACAACCAACCAUUCACCAACCUCACAACCAUCUUCAUCAAUCUCACCAACAACCAACCAAUCAUCAUCACCCCCACCAACCUCUGCAUCUUCAUCAACAUCCCAGCAGAGAAAAAACAUCAGUGCAAUCACAGUCUUCCACAUGCGUGUUCGCUCAGGAGCCAAUGAGGAAGCAGUGCUGAAGGCUGUGCAGGAUUUCAUUCUCCACCUCCAGGGCUUGAUGAGGAGACAGCAGUGUGAAGACUGCAGUCUACGAGUGCUAAACAUCAGCAAGAAACAUCGCUGA
ensembl:lncRNA